rnacentral:tmRNA from 1 species
GGGGGCGACCGGUUUCGACGGGACAGGAGUUCUUUAGAACGGCAUGCAGAGGUCCCAGGGUCCUCUUAAAUCAACCUGGAAAUACCAUAAAUGCCGAUUACGGCUACAUGGCAGCAGCUUAAGUAAUUAAGCAAUAAAGUUGCCCGUCCUGAGUCAGUUCCGCCUGUGGGCAGGCUCAAGGGCGUCGAUUACACGGGCUGGGUAUGUUGAGCGCCUGAUCCGACAUACUGAGAAUUCUUCAGGCUUCGGUUGAAAUGCGUGGGUCCCUGGAUCGCAUUUCAGCAACACUUAACCAGGCGACUAAGCAUGUAGAAGAUCUUUUGAAACUUGUUUCGGACGGGAGUUCGAAUCUCCCCGCCUCCACUU